CUCAAAGCUCAGUCAAACUCCCACCGCCCCCUCAUUUCUCCUAUCCUCCCCAUUCUUCCCUCAUUCAUGGCCACGACAUCCCCAUCCACAGGCGACGGCCCGGCGAUCUGCUCUGCGCCGCCCCUCACUCCUCCUGGCGACGCCGGGGCCAUCCACCGUGUGCGCUUUCCUCUUCCUCCCCAUGGCCGCCUUGCUCCCCAUCACCUACGCCCACUCUGGCAGCCCCCAACCCUAGUUCUCUCACACCCUGUAGGUUGAGGAGGAGUGAGGCUUCUGGGCGAGGAGGUGCUGGUGGUGGUGCUGCUGGGCGAGGAGGCACUUGAUUUGCGUUCGCCGGCGCUGGAUCCGCAUGCGCCGGCGCUUGAUCUGCUCCGUCGUGGCUCCGGCGACCUUACCAUGUGGCUCCGGGACAGGAAGGCUACCCCGACGACAUACAGGAGACCUCAACACGCCAAUGGAUGCAGCCAGCCUCCAACUCACCACGCACCUGCACCAACUUGAUGUAGGGAGAGGAGGAGUGAGGCUUCUCUCACGGGAUGACGCCCAGCCAUGGGGCAGCAACAACCCAAGAUUGCUGUCAAAAUAAGCCUAAAUUCAGAGUCUUCGGAAGUCAAUUACUUUGAGCCUUUGAGUUAGAAGCUAGUUAAUGUACCCUCAGCGGCCGUGCUUGAUAGGAGGGGCCAGGGAAGUGCUUUAAGUCGUUCCAAGAAUGUGAGACAGUGUCAAGUCUGUAAGGCAAGUCAAGGGGAUCCUGUGGCGGCAAGAUCCUUCAGCGGUGCAAGAGAUUAAGGGUUCCAUAAUCGAUUCCGCGCCUGUUGCUGUCCCCAAUUUUCAGCUGGGUGACCGCCUCUUGUCCAGUAGCUGGCACAUGUGACACGAUGUUACUGGCAUUGAAAGCAGCAGUAAUGUUCUGCAGUUGGGUGACCGCCUCUUGUCAAGUAGCUGGCAUAUGUGACACAAGGUUACUGCCAUCGAAAGCAGCAAACUAUGCAGAACAGAAACAGGAGCAAUGAACGGAUGUCAUUGUUAACAUCCUCACAUGCUUGCAAAUCAGCCUGCCGAGGAGUUUGCCGCCGCCGAUGCUUAGUCCGGAGACAGUCGCGACAGUGUAGGCGACGGCGUCUGAAAGAUUGAAGAGAAAGCAUGCACCUGUGUUGGCGAGGAGGUCGUCGUCAUGGAUGUCGCGGUCGUCAUCGGCGUCGUCGGUGCGGCCGUCGUCUGGCGUCGUCGGUGCCGCCGUCGUCUGGCGUCGUCGGUGCGGGCAUCCUCGGCGCGGGCGUUUCGGUGGAGGGCAACUCUGAAGAGCGACGGGAGGAUUGGUUGCCACUAAUUUUGGAGCGGAUGUGGCUGUUUCACUGUGUUUUUUUUCUUUUCUUUUAGUUGGCGUUGGCUGAAGGACGACAGAGUUUCGUCCGCCCACCUAAAUUGCUUAGCGUACAACGUGAGGGGUACUUUUAUGUAUUCACGGUUAGAUCCCAUUGAGUAGGCUUAUCUUGACCCUCCAAUUGAUGUGUUUUCUUCUGUGUACAGUAAGCGGGAUGCGUUUAGGGGAGUUAACGUUUGCUUAUUUUAUAGUAGUAGAGAUACACAUCAGCCCCAGGCCCAGCAGACUCGUGUUUCCUUUUCUUGCCUUUCGCUGUUACACCUUUUUUGCCCUUAUAUCAUUUCAAAAAAGAUU